rnacentral:lncRNA from 1 species
AUUCCAGGUGGAUUUUAGAGCAGGAUGUUCCCAGCUCCAAAUUCCAGGUGGAUUUUAGAGCAGGAUGUUCCCAGCUCCAAAUUCCAGGUGGAUGUUGGACAGGAUUUCAGCCCAGCUCCACAAUCAGGUGGAUGUUGGACAGGAUUUCAGCCCAGCUCCAAAUUCCAGGUUUAUUUUAGAGCAGGAUGUUCCCAGCUCCACAAUCAGGUGGAUGUUGGACAGGAUUUCAGCCCAGCUUCAAAUUCCAGGUGGAUGUUGGACAGGAUUUCAGCCCAGCUCCAAAUUCCAGGUUUAUUUUAGAGCAGGAUGUUCCCAGCUCCAAAUUCCAGGUGGAUUUUAGAGCAGGAUGUUCCCAGCUCCAAAUUCCAGGUGGAUGUUGGACAGGAUUCCA